GCUGAUAAAAACUCCUACUGCCCAUUACUCGCAAGGUACUGUAGGAAUCAACUAGUGCAAGCACAAUGCCAGAAGACAUGUGGAGCAUGUGGCGGCGGUGGUGGUGGUGUUGUCUGUCAGGACUCCACCGUGUACUGCCCGUUCUUUAAGAAUCGUUGCUCAAACAUAAUUGUGAGACUGAAGUGCAAGAAGACGUGCAAUGCUUGUUGAACGAAAGGAGUACUCAGAUCACUGCAUUUGAGGGACACGUGGAGAAAUUUAGAAUUCUAGAUCUUCAUAGUCAUUCUGAUGUAGCCAAAACUGAAUAAAAGGCGAUUUGAUCUGACUUG